rnacentral:misc_RNA from 1 species
UCCGGUUUGUCACCGGCAGUCCCAUUAGAGUGCCCAACUUAAUGUGGCAACUAAUGGCAAGGGUUGCGCUCGUUGCGGGACUUAACCCAACAUCUCACGACACGAGCUGACGACAGCCAUGCAGCACCUGUGUCUAGGUUCCCUUUCGGGCACACUCACAUCUCAGGAGUUUCCCAUGCAUGUCAAGCCUAGGUAAGGUUCUUCGCGUUGCGUCGAAUUAAUCCACAUAAUCCACCGCUUGUGCGGGUCCCCGUCAAUUCCUUUGAGUUUUAACCUUGCGGCCGUACUCCCCAGGCGGUCAACUUCACGCGUUAGCUUCGUUACCAAGGAAUUGCUUCCCCGACAACCAGUUGACAUAGUUUAGGGCGUGGACUAC